rnacentral:tRNA from 1 species
UCCGCAGUAGCUCAACGGCAGAGCAACCGGCUGUUAACCGGUAGGUUCCUGGUUCGAAUCCAGGCUGCGGAG